AACGAACGCUGGCGGCAGGCUUAACACAUGCAAGUCGAACGGGUGUAGCAAUACAUCAGUGGCAGACGGGUGAGUAACACGUGGGAACCUUCCUAGGGGUACGGAACAACUCAGGGAAACUUGAGCUAAUACCGUAUACGUCCGUAAGGAGAAAGAUUCAUCGCCCCUAGACGGGCCCGCGUCGGAUUAGCUAGUUGGUGGGGUAACGGCCUACCAAGGCGACGAUCCGUAGCUGAUCNGAGAGGAUGAUCAGCCACACUGGGACUGAGACACGGCCCAGACUCCUACGGGAGGCAGCAGUGGGGAAUCUUGGACAAUGGGCGCAAGCCUGAUCCAGCCAUGCCGCGUGAGUGAAGAAGGCCUUAGGGUUGUAAAGCUCUUUUACCAGGGACGAUAAUGACGGUACCUGGAGAAUAAG
rnacentral:rRNA from 1 species